rnacentral:rRNA from 1 species
UACGGGAAGCAGCAGUGAGGAAUUUUUCACAAUGGGCGAAAGCCUGAUGGAGCAAUACCACGUGAACGAUGAAGGUCUUCUGAUUGUAAAGUUCUUUUAUUUAGGAAAAAAAGCAGGAUAGGAAAUGAUUCUGCCGUGAUUGUACUAAUUGAAUAAGUGACAGCUAACUAUGUGCCAGCAGCUGCGGUAAAACAUAGGUCACGAGCAUUAUCCGGAUUUAUUGGGCGUAAAGGAAGCGUAGGUGGAGGAGUUGAUCCAUUGUCAAAAGCAUCUGCUUAACAGGUGUCCGCGAUGGAUAUCGCUUCUCUAGAAUUAGUUAGGGGGUACUGGAAUUCAAUGUGUAGCGGUGGAAUGCGUAGAUAUAUUGAGGAACACCAGAGGCUAAGGCGAGUACCUGGGACAUAAUUGACACUGAGGCUUGAAAGCGUGGGGAGCAAAUGGGAUUAGAUACCCCAGUAGUCCACGCCGUAAACGAUGGGUAUUAGGUAUUUGGUUUAAAACUGAGUGCUGUAGCUAACGCG